rnacentral:rRNA from 1 species
GUCCACGCCGUAAACGAUGAGUGCUAGGUGCUGCGGGUAUUGACCCCUGCGGUGCCGUAGCUAACGCGUUAAGCACUCCGCCUGGGGAGGUACGGCCGCAAGGCUAAAACUACAAAGGAAUUGACGGGGGCCCGGCACAAGCGGUGGAGCAUGUGGUUCAAUUCGACGCAACGCGCAGAACCUUACCUGGGUUAAAUCCACUCGAACCUUGCAGAGAUGUUGGGGUGGCUCUUCGGAGAGCGAGUGAGAAGGUGCUGCAUGGCUGUCGU